GGCAACUCUGACCCAGCCAUGCCGCGUGCAGGAAGAAGGCGUUAUGCGUUGUAAACUGCUUUUAUAUAGGAAGAAAUAGUCUUUGCGAAGAAAGUUGACGGUACUAUAUGAAUAAGCACCGGCUAACUCCGUGCCAGCAGCCGCGGUAAUACGGAGGGUGCAAGCGUUGUCCGGAUUUAUUGGGUUUAAAGGGUGCGUAGGCGGUUUAUUAAGUCAGUGGUGAAAGACGGUCGCUCAACGAUUGCAGUGCCAUUGAUACUGGUAGACUUGAGUGGGUUUGAGGUAGCUGGAAUGGAUAGUGUAGCGGUGAAAUGCAUAGAUAUUAUCCAGAACACCAAUUGCGUAGGCAAGUUACUAAGACUCAACUGACGCUGAGGCACGAAAGUGUGGGUAUCAAACAGGAUUAGAUACCCUGGUAGUCCACACUGUCCACGAUGAU
rnacentral:rRNA from 1 species